rnacentral:rRNA from 1 species
UGAACGCUAGCGACAGGCUAACACAUGCAAGUCGAGGGGCAUCACGGGAGUAGCAAUACAACUGGUGGCGACCGGCGCACGGGUGAGUAACGCGUAUGCAACCUACCUAUCAGAGGGGAAGUAACCCGGCGAAAGUACGGACUAAUACCGCAUAAAACAGGGGCACCGCAUGGUGAUAUUUGUUAAAGAAAUUCGCUGAUAGAUGGGCAUGCGUUCCAUUAGGUAGUUGGUGAGGUAACGGCUCACCAAGCCGACGAUGGAUAGGGAACUGAGAGGUUGGUCCCCCACACUGGUACUGAGACACGGACCAGACUCCUACGGGAGGCAGCAGUGAGGAAUAUUGGUCAAUGGGCGGGAGCCUGAACCAGCCAAGUCGCGUGAAGGAAGAAGGAUCUAUAGUUCGUAAACUUCUUUUGCAGGGGAAUAAAGUGCAGGACGUGUCCUGUUUUGUAUGUACCCUGAGAAUAAGGAUCGGCUAACUCCGUGCCAGCCGCCGC